rnacentral:rRNA from 1 species
CACGUAGGCGGAUGUGUCAGUCAGGGGUGAAAUCCCGGGGCUCAACCUCGGAACUGCCUUUGAUACAGCACGUCUUGAGUCCGAUAGAGGUGGUGGAAUUCCUAGUGUAGAGGUGAAAUUCGUAGAUAUUAGGAAGAACACCGGUGGCGAAGGCGGCCCACUGGAUCGGUACUGACGCUGAGGUGCGAAAGCGUGGGGAGCAAACA